CCUACGGGAGGCAGCAGUGGGGAAUAUUGGACAAUGGGCGAAAGCCUGAUCCAGCCAUGCCGCGUGUGUGAAGAAGGCCUUCGGGUUGUAAAGCACUUUCAGUGGGAAAGAAAGCCUUGGGGCUAAUACCCUCGAGGAAGGACAUCACCCACAGAAGAAGCACCGGCUAACUCCGUGCCAGCAGCCGCGGUAAUACGGAGGGUGCGAGCGUUAAUCGGAAUUACUGGGCGUAAAGCGCGCGUAGGCGGUCUGAUAAGCCGGUUGUGAAAGCCCCGGGCUCAACCUGGGAACGGCAUCCGGAACUGUCAGGCUAGAGUGCAGGAGAGGAAGGUAGAAUUCCCGGUGUAGCGGUGAAAUGCGUAGAGAUCGGGAGGAAUACCAGUGGCGAAGGCGGCCUUCUGGACUGACACUGACGCUGAGGUGCGAAAGCGUGGGUAGCAAACAGGAUUAGAUACCCGAGUAGUC
rnacentral:rRNA from 1 species